AACCAUAGAAACCUGCGGAGUACCUGCGGAAGGAUCAUUAAAGAGUGAUACCUCCCUUCAAAGGGCUGGUAGUAAACUCCAACCCCUAUGUUUUUAUUUACCUUUUUGUUGCUUAGGCGGUUCGUAAAGCAUUUUUUUUUUUAAAAGAAAUGGCUUUCCAUUGGCUUUUUUCUUAGGCUGAUGAGUUUUAACCGCCUAAGGACUUAAAAACUCUUUGAAAUUUAAGUUUAUUGUCUGAGA
rnacentral:misc_RNA from 1 species